rnacentral:rRNA from 1 species
UACGUAGGGUGCGAGCGUUGUCCGGAAUUAUUGGGCGUAAAGAGCUCGUAGGCGGCUUGUUGCGUCGGAUGUGAAAGCCCGGGGCUUAACUCCGGGUCGGCAUUCGAUACGGGCAGGCUAGAGUUCGGUAGGGGAGAUCGGAAUUCCUGGUGUAGCGGUGAAAUGCGCAGAUAUCAGGAGGAACACCGAUGGCGAAGGCAGGUCUCUGGGCCACUACUGACGCUGAGAAGCGAAAGCAUGGGGAGCGAACAGG